GUACACCUGGCCGUCAGCCUUGCAGUCCGCAUCAUCUCCUGGAACACACAGGAAGACACUGUCAGAAUAUGCAAACAAAGGCAUGGAUAUGCUUUACAAGCACAUCUGUCAAGACUGCAGUGAGGAGGCCCCUGAAACCCUUACCUGUUCCUAUUACAACCAGCAGGUGGCAGCUCUGAGCUUCAAACUACAGAAACCCCCCUGAAUGUGUUCAGAGGCCUGAAAGCAGACGCGCUCACCGUCGCCGCGCAGCAGAGUGAUGGAGCAGCCAGGCUGACCUCGGGCAGGUACUGUUACAAAUAGCUGAUGGAAAUCCUGUAAUCCUAUUAGAUGGUAAGCCGAGCGCAUCUUCUUGGGCCUGGACAUGUGAAGUAUUAUUCCCAUCAUGAGUCAUUUUUCGGUAUGUCAAUAAAUCCAUUUAUAAAUUAAA